AUUGAACGCUGGCGGCAGGCCUAACACAUGCAAGUCGGACGGUAGCACAGAGGAGCUUGCUCCUCGGGUAACGAGUGGCGGACGGGUGAGUAAUGUCUGGGGAUCUGCCCGAUAGAGGGGGAUAACCACUGGAAACGGUGGCUAAUGCCGCAUAACGUCGCAAGACCAAAGAGGGGGACCUUCGGGCCUCUCACUAUCGGAUGAACCCAGAUGGGAUUAGCUAGUAGGCGGGGUAAUGGCGCACCUAGGCGACGAUCCCUAACUGGUCUGAGAAGAUGACCAGCCACACUGGAACUGAGACACGGUCCAGACGCCUACGGGAGGCAGCAGUGGGGAAUAUUGCACAAUGGGCGCAAGCCUGAUGCAGCCAUGCCGCGUGUAUGAAGAAGGCCUUCGGGUUGUAAAGUACUUUCAGCGGGGAGGAAGGCGAUAAGGUUAAUAACCUUGUCGAUUGACGUUACCCGCAGAAGAAGCACCGGCUAACUCCGUGCCAGCCGCCGCGGUAA
rnacentral:rRNA from 1 species